ensembl:lncRNA
CACGUGACCUUCCUCUGCCCUGCCCCCAGAACACAGGUUCCCCGGUUGGGCAUGGGGCGGCUGGUGAGAACAACGGAGCUAAAGCGAACAAAUCCCUCUGGGCGCCUGGCCUCUCUAGUCAGCCUGCCGGCGUCAGGGCGCCCUCUGCCUUAACCUCCGUCCCCCUCCUCUCACAGUGGUUCCUCAUUCUAAUCACCGCACACCUAGGCCCGCUUUGAUCCACUCUCAGCCACCAUGCGUGGGGGGCGCGCAGCAGGAACUCUUAUCCUCACUUAACAGAUGAGGAAACUGAGGCCCAGAAAGGGCCAAACACAGUCCUUAAUUCUCCUUUACCCCAAGGCCCACACGAAUCCAUUUCUAGUCACCUCCUCAUGUGUGGUGCAUUCCUGGAGGAAUUUUCUGGACUUGAAUGGCCACGAAUAGCUAACGGUCCUGCUCAGCACUUUGCCCUGUCACCAUCGGGGCUGGAUCUGGUGCUUCACUUCCACGUUCACACCCAUGGCUACUGCUUUGCUCCUAAUGACCCCUCUCCUGGUGACAUGAAUCUGUGGCCCCCGUGGCAUUCUGACAAUGUGAUGACCCUAAGCUGCUUCCUGCUCUGGCUCUGCCCAAGUCCAGCCUGGAGGCUCUCGGUAGCCCCAGUCAGUCCCACCUACCCAGUUGGCCUUAAGGUAAAAGGGAGGGCCCUGUCAGGCUCUCACCUCACCCUCACUGACCACAUCCUCUGACCAUGGGCUUUCCCACCAGGACCUAAAGAAAUCGGUAUCCCCAACGUCUUCUAUCUGACAGAUGGAAAAACUGAGGUACAUGAAGUCAACAACAGAAGACUAGAACCUCAGUUUCCUGAUCCUGAGUUAGACAUACUUUCCUAAGGCGUUGUACAAAAAUCACUAUGGGGAUGGGGUUAACAAUAAUAAAAAGAAGCCUCCUUGAG